GACGAACGCUGGCGGCGUGCUUAACACAUGCAAGUCGAACGGAAAGGCCCUGCUUUUGUGGGGUGCUCGAGUGGCGAACGGGUGAGUAACACGUGAGUAACCUGCCCUUGACUUUGGGAUAACUUCAGGAAACUGGGGCUAAUACCGGAUAGGAGCUCCUGCUGCAUGGUGGGGGUUGGAAAGUUUCGGCGGUUGGGGAUGGACUCGCGGCUUAUCAGCUUGUUGGUGGGGUAGUGGCUUACCAAGGUUUUGACGGGUAGCCGGCCUGGGAGGGUGACCGGCCCCAUUGGGCCUGGGAUACGGCCCAGACUCAUACGGGCGGCAGCAGUGGGGAAUAUUGCACAAUGGGCGGAAGCCUGAUGCAGCAACGCCGCGUGCGGGAUGACGGCCUUCGGGUUGUAAACCGCUUUCGCCUGUGACGAAGCGUGAGUGACGGUAAUGGGUAAAGAAGCACCGGCUAACUACGU
rnacentral:rRNA from 1 species